rnacentral:misc_RNA from 1 species
GAUGAAGAACGUAGCGAAAUACGAUAAUAAAUGUGAAUUGCAGAAUUCCGUGAAUCAUCGAGUCUUUGAACGCACAUUGCGCCUCAUGGCAUUCCGUGAGGCAUGCCCAUCUCAGCGUUAGAAAAUAUUCUCAAAUUUUAGUUUUGUGCUAAAAUUUGGAUCAUGUCAAGGAAGCUAUUACUAUUAUUGUGAUCGCUCUUUGGAAAUUGAUAGGUCUUUGAGUUGCUACUCAUAGAACGUGAUGAAUCUUUCUUCGUUCUAUUGUAAUUCACUCUGGUAGUCCUAAAACUUGUAUGCCUGUGGCAUAUCUUGUAAUUUGACCUGAGAUUGGGUAGGGAUACCCGCUGAACUUAAGCAUAUCAAUAAGCGGAGGA